rnacentral:rRNA from 1 species
ACGGGUGAGUAAUGUCUGGGAAACUGCCUGAUGGAGGGGGAUAACUACUGGAAACGGUAGCUAAUACCGCAUAACGUCGCAAGACCAAAGAGGGGGACCUUCGGGCCUCUUGCCAUCAGAUGUGCCCAGAUGGGAUUAGCUAGUAGGUAGGGUAACGGCUCACCUAGGCGACGAUCCCUAGCUGGUCUGAGAGGAUGACCAGCCACACUGGAACUGAGACACGGUCCAGACUCCUACGGGAGGCAGCAGUGGGGAAUAUUGCACAAUGGGCGCAAGCCUGAUGCAGCCAUGCCGCGUGUAUGAAGAAGGCCUUCGGGUUGUAAAGUACUUUCAGCGGGGAGGAAGGUGUUGUGGUUAAUAACCACAGCAAUUGACAUUACCCGCAGAAGAAGCACCGGCUAACUCCGUGCCAGCAGCCGCGGUAAUACGGAGGGUGCAAGCGUUAAUCGGAAUUACUGGGCGUAAAGCGCACGCAGGCGGUCUGUCAAGUCGGAUGUGAAAUCCCCGGGCUCAACCUGGGAACUGCAUUCGAAACUGGCAGGCUAGAGUCUUGUAGAGGGGGGUAGAAUUCCAGGUGUAGC